UUUACCUUUCAAGAUAGACAAAAUUAUACGAUUCGUACCUCCGUAAACAAGAAAAGUGUGAAUACUACUAAUAUUCAUUGAUUCCAUGUUGUGUGUAUUGUCAGCAGAUCACCAUGAAGGUUGUCGCAGUAAUCCUGGCUCUAGCAGUCCUCUCAGGCUGCCAUGCAUGGGUGCUACCCAUGCAGGAUGAGCCCCAAACUCCCUGGGAAAAGACAAUUGACCAGUUUAAGGACUACAUGGCAGAUCUGAACACUAAGGCUGAUGAGAAGGUGAAGAACAUCAGGUGGUCGUAUCUCAGCAGAGAACUGGAUACCCUGAUCACAGAUACCAUGUCUGAGCUGAAUAUGUACAGUGAUGAUAUGAAGACCAAACUGGGACCUCUCGCUAAGGACGCCGCUGAACGUCUGGGCAAGGAAGUGCAGCUCCUUGUUAACAAGUUGCAGGCUCACAUGACUGAAGCUAAAGACCGUACCACAGUGUACACACUGGAACUCCAGACCAUGUUGGAGCAGAAUGCCAAUGACGUCAGUCACAGGGUCAACACCUAUAGCCGCAAGCUGAACAAGCGCCUGAGCAAAGACACCCAGGAGAUUUGCAGCAAAGUGACCACCUAUUUCGAGGAGUUGCAGUCUCGAACCACCUCUGGCGUGGAAUCCGUGAUGGAUCGCGUUGAGCCUUACUAUGUCCAGAUCCGUGAGCGCGCGCUGAGGAUAAGAUGGCUACCCUCAGCAAGCUGCUGGCGACCCAGGCUGAAAAGGUGAAGGACAAGCUUGAGUCCCGGGCUGAGGAGGUCCGCGAGCAGCUGGAGAAGACCACCGAGAACCUCCGCAGCAGCCUCGAGGACAAGACGGAGGAACUGCGCACCUGGUUCAACCCUUACGGCCUCAUAAUCCGUGAUAAGGCUAAGGCCAUCAUGGAGACCAUGUAAAUCAACAUACCACCAUACAGGCUUAGGGUGGCGGUCUAGUUCAUGCACUGUCACAUAUUUCACCCAAGUUAAAAAAUUAUUUUAAAAAAGGGAAGGGAAGUUGCCUUUCAGAAACCAUUUAGUUUCUCACUCCAUUCAUAAACAAGACAUAAUGCAUAUUUGGCUGAGCACAGAGCUUUUCAGACUUGUAACAGGUUUCCAAGAUCAACCAAACAAAUCUACUUGUGUUAAUAUCCUCUCUCCCUCAUUGUCAUCCACCUCUACAAAAGGCACCUUUCCAAGGCCUAGCUGAUGAAGUUCACUGAGAUGCACACUCUAGCCAUUACUGAUUAACAUCAAAAUGUAUAUUAGCGGUACAGAACAGUUGUGGUAGGGGAAUUGUAUAAAGGGCUUUGUGAGUAAGUAAUAAUAAAAAAACAUACAUUGGUGAAAGUAUGUCAAUCCAAUAAAAACAUCUAUACUAA